rnacentral:rRNA from 2 species
AAUGGACGCAAGUCUGAUGGAGCAACGCCGCGUGAGUGAAGAAGGCUUUCGGGUCGUAAAACUCUGUUGUUGGAGAAGAAUGGUCGGCAGAGUAACUGUUGUCGGCGUGACGGUAUCCAACCAGAAAGCCACGGCUAACUACGUGCCAGCAGCCGCGGUAAUACGUAGGUGGCAAGCGUUAUCCGGAUUUAUUGGGCGUAAAGCGAGCGCAGGCGGUUUUUUAAGUCUGAUGUGAAAGCCCUCGGCUUAACCGAGGAAGCGCAUCGGAAACUGGGAAACUUGAGUGCAGAAGAGGACAGUGGAACUCCAUGUGUAGCGGUGAAAUGCGUAGAUAUACGGAAGAACACCAGUGGCGAAGGCGGCUGUCUGGUCUGUAACUGACGCUGAGGCUCGAAAGCAUGGGUAGCGAACAGGAUUAGAUACCCUGGUAGUCCAUGCCGUAAACGAUGAAUGCUAGGUGUUGGAGGGUUUCCGCCCUUCAGUGCCGCAGCUAACGCAUUAAGCAUUCCGCCUGGGGAGUACGACCGCAAGGUUGAAACUCAAAGGAAUUGACGGGGGCCCGCACAAGCGGUGGAGCAUGUGGUUUAAUUCGAAGCA